GUGAGGAAUAUUGGUCAAUGGGCGGGAGCCUGAACCAGCCAAGUCGCGUGAAGGAAGAAGGAUCUAUGGUUCGUAAACUUCUUUUGCAGGGGAAUAAAGUGCAGGACGUGUCCUGUUUUGUAUGUACCCUGAGAAUAAGGAUCGGCUAACUCCGUGCCAGCAGCCGCGGUAAUACGGAGGAUCCGAGCGUUAUCCGGAUUUAUUGGUUUUAAAGGGUGCGUAGGUGGUUUGAUAAGUCAGCGGUGAAAGUUUGCAGCUUAACUGUAAAAAUGCCGUUGAAACUGUCGGACUUGAGUGUAAAUGAGGUAGGCGGAAUGCGUGGUGUAGCGGUGAAAUGCAUAGAUAUCACGCAGAACUCCGAUUGCGAAGGCAGCUUACUAAGCUACAACUGACACUGAAGCACGAAAGCGUGGGGAUCAAACAGGAUUAGAAACCCGUGUAGUCC
rnacentral:rRNA from 1 species